GACCCCAUAGUUUAACGGAUAGAACGAAGCCCUCCGAAGGUUUAGAUAGAGGUUCAAUUCCUCUUGGGGUCACCA
rnacentral:tRNA from 1 species